rfam:Influenza A virus (A/Ck/HK/SSP141/2003(H5N1)) nonstructural protein 2 and nonstructural protein 1 (NS) gene, complete cds.
UUCCAGGACAUAAUGGUGAGGAUGUCAAGAAUGCAAUUGGCGUCCUCA